AACUAGCAUCCCUCUGCUCUCCUCAUUAGCAGUUUCUCUCCUCUUUUCUCAUCACAUCUGCCCACUCUUUCCUCUCCUUUUUGGCUACUUUUUGUUCUUUCAACUCAAAAGAUGGGUUAUCAUUUUUGACAUUAUUUUUCUGCAGAUUUUAGAUUUCCCCUAAGAUGACUGGGAAGGGAUUCUACAAGGAGCAGACUUCUGCCUUUUUUAGGCCUCCACGAUGUAUAGAAGCGACCUAAACCAGGUGCACAGACUCUGCAAACCUCUCGUCAUGCCUGGGCGGAACAUGAAACGGACCCUCCGGCUGGAAGGGCGAGUGCUGUGUGGGCUUCCUGAAGUGGUGCAGCACUGGGUCAUCGGAGAGCCGCAGUGCCUGUUUGGGAACGGAGCAGCAAUCUGUGUUAUUUCAGCAACAGCCUGUUGGAUGGAGGGCCCUUCCAUGGGCAUUAUGGAUUAAUCUUUGGCAGGAUCUCAGUUGGAUCAGCCCAAAAAUGGGAUGUUUAACCUCACGUGUACCACAACUCCUGUGAUAAAGCAGGAUAGAGAGGAUUGUGUGUGACCCACAUUGGGACUGUGUUCUAAAUGUAUUACCUGUAUUGACUGUUGAAUGUAUGCACUGCGGGUUGCAUUAUAUAGUCUGCAAAUCUGCAAUGUUAAUCCAGAGUAAAGGCCACCAUUUUUACCUUCUGUAUUAUUAUUGGUAUAAUUUUCAGAUGUACCAAUCAGUAGCCCAGAAAUCAAAGUCAGCUUUUUUUUUCUCAUUUUAUUUGGCUCCGAUUAGUUACUGGUGGGUUAAUAUACUAAAAAAGCUUUUUUUCCACUCAUUCAUUAAGCCAAAUUUGCCCUUUUUAUGCUUUAUAAACUCAGUGACCAAUUGUAUAUUCUUCAUUCUCAUUGCUGAGUAUGAAAAAUCAGAUAAAAGAUAGUGGUACGUGUUUAAUGGAGAUAAUAGUAUUUAUUCAUUUUCUGUCUGAUUACCAGUCCCUAUAAAAGAUUCUGGAGAACAAUUAUUUUAUCUGCUGUUAUGUUCUGCAGUCCUUAUAAAACAAAAAGAAAAAGUAGAAUCUGUUAAAGUCCAAUGUCAAAAUUGUCUUGAGAAACCUAUAAGACAAUAGGAAUUUGAUCUACAGUUCAGGAGAAGGCUUCAUGUGUUUCAUAUUUCUGUUAAAAUACAGUUUUAAAAGUAAACUUGAACUUUAUUUCAGGCAUAUCAAAUAUUUUAUUUACAAAAUAGGUGUGUGAAAUGUGAGAUAUUUUUCAGCUGACACAAGGCCAAAAGUCAAGGAUUCCCCAUCUAGUGUCCAAAACAAACAUUUCCUCAGUGUGGCCUCGUCAGAAUCUCCUUCCUGAGCUGCUGUUACUGCUUUUAGUUUAUGUGUCUCUGCAGCUUAUUUUCUCCUUUUUAUGUGUCAUGGUCCUUAAACCAAAAAAGGGGAAUCAGCAGGUCAGAUUUCAAAGAAAACUGGAAAUCAGAGUCAACCAGGAGAAGCUCUACAGUAUCGGUGAGCCUUUAACCACUUUUAGUCAUCAGGUUUCUUAUUUCUCCACUCGGUCAUUUAUUGACAACUUUUUGAACUAUGAGGCAGCAUUUAUUCAUCCAUCUUUUAAUCAGUUUCUCUAAUGAAAACAGGUUUUCAGCUAAAAUCUCCCAUUUUGGACCUCCCUUGUUUUAAAUUGUUUAUCAUACAGGCCUAAGUGGAGAGUCGUCUUCCUGUUUGUUUUAACAUCAGGGAGGUCUAAAUAUAAAAGCCAAGAACUACAUCUACAAGCCUAGAUUUACACAUAUAUUUUAAUGAUUUAAUAUGUUCUCUUGUCUUGUCAGAAACAAAUUUAGCGUAAAAAGUAAAAAAAAAUUUUAACAGACAUUUUACUGAACAGUUGCACAGCAGCCUUUAAAGAAUGUCACAGAUUAGACAUCAGAAGGAGUUUUCACUGAAAAUCUGAUUUUAACUCUGUACUCUUAAUCCAGACUCAGUGGUCACAAGAUUAUGACCCGUGACAGUCUGACUGUGAUUAAACGGUAACUAAAGCUUAACUGCAUGGUCACUCUCUCUUUGAAUGAGAAUAUUACUAAAACAUGUGUGUUCAGAUUACAUUCAGCGGAUAAUCAACACCCUACAUUAAUCAUAAAAACAGUUUAAAAGCCCAGGCAACACUGAAAUAUGCUUCAGAGGGGCAGUUCUUUGUUUAAAAUCCAGCAUCAAACCUGAAACCUUGAUCACAAAACUCCGUUAUAUAAACAUCUGCAGGUUCUUAGAAACGCUCUGUUUAGAUUGUGUUUCAGCACUACAAAGGUAGGUAUGUCUUUUCAUGAAGGAGUUUACAAGUACUUGCUGCUUUACAGUGGUGCGCUCCCGAGAAGGUGAGGGCUUUAAUGUGCAAUUGCCAUCUAACAAAAACAUGAUUAUGUCAGACACUAGGUGUACCAUUCUCUCUGUUCAAAGAGGUUUUGUGAUCAUAUAUUUUAAUGCAUUUUAUCAAAGAUUCCCUUUUUAGCUUCUGAACCCUCCAACAAAUGCUGUAGUGUUAGAUAUUCAGAAUACGUAGAGGAAAGAUUGGAUUUUCUGCGUUUUUAGAGGAACAUGCAGAUCGGGAGACCUCUGAUCACAAGCCCAUAACCUGACAAAUAAUUACAAAAGCUCCCCACUGAUUUAUGUUUGAUUCUGUAAUUAAAAUAAGUGAAUGAGAAAUCACCCUGUUUCCCUAUACUGACUCAUAGAUUCAUGAUUUGUUGCUGUUCUGCUUGUGCAAUUGUGCUCCUGACAGUCACAUGACCCGUGUGAACUCAUUUUUGACUUUAAAACCUCUUGGCUCUGUGUUUAUCCGAGUGACAGCAGUAAUUCUCAGCGUGGUUUGAAAGCAAUUCAAAAAUGCAGUCAAUCAUGUUGCAACCUCAUGACACAGGGUGGAGUCAUGUUGCUGAUGGGCUUGAUGCAUUGCUGUGACGCUUAAGUGAGAGGGCAGUUGAAUUAAGUGUUUCAGAGAGAGUUAGGCCUUCAGAGCUCUAUUCCAUCAGUGCAUGGCAAAUAUAGGUUAAUGAGGUGGGGUGUAGGCCCAGGACAGGAUGAUGCCCUACCUUUGUUUACAGGUGACAUUGCAACGUAUUGCAUAUUAGCGGACUUCAUCAGCUCUACACCUUUUAUUGCAGCAAAUAAGAGAUCAACACUAACGAUGGGACUUGCAAUGCAUACUGAAAUUUUAUAUGAGAGCCUUUUUCCUAACUCUAUUAACACUGAACCACAUAGAAAGUCAUCUGAAAAUGAAAAGCUCUGAUCUCAAAACAAAAGGGAGAUCACACUAUUUGCUUAGAGGACCACAUCUAUGCUCACUAAUAGGUUUCAUUGGCUCAAUCUGUUUUCCAGUGGAGUUGGGGAACAGGUCUGUUUUAAAUCUGAUGCCAGGAUGGUUUUUGAAGAUAACUCUGAAAGGUUUGAUCAUUUCAUACACCAGUUUUUGCUAAUUGCCAAAAACCACUCAAAUGCCAUAAUUUACUCCAAUAAUUGCUCAAUUUAUCAAGUAUUAUCCUUGACAAAUCCAAUCUGGAUUGAUUCUGUUGUGUGGUGUUUUGGUAAGCAUCAACUCUCAAGCAGCUCAGACAAGCACAGACUUAAGUUUUACUCUGAUGCAGGUAAUCCACACAUGAAAGCUGCUCAGACCUGCUGAACUACUUGGUAAAUCGCCUGCAGACAUAAUCUGAAUGCUUUAUUUUUCCAAUGGAACAAGUUGUGAGAAAAACAAAAGCUGCUUCUGAAUGUCACUGACAUUUUACCAGCUGACUAUUGAAUUUCUUUAGUGAGUGUAUCACCAACAACUAAACUAAUCAUUAACUAACCAAUUUUUCUGAGUGUAUUUUAUCUCUUUGUGAAUGAGUUUUGUGAUGCUCUCUGGUCAGGAACAUAUUUUCAAGUCCAGCAGAACAUUUAGUAUCUUUCUAUGGCAGCGGUUAACAAAGUUAGGGUUUGGGUGUAAAGUUUAAAUAAUAUAAUCAGUAAAAUAUAUGUAUGCAAUGAAUAUAAUAAAGUGUUUUAACUUGG